rnacentral:rRNA from 1 species
UACGAAGGGGGCGAGCGUUGUUCGGAAUUACUGGGCGUAAAGGGCUCGUAGGCGGCCAACUAAGUCAUACGUGAAAUCCCCCGGCUUAACCGGGGAACUGCGUCUGAUACUGGAUGGCUUGAGUUCGGGAGAGGGAAGUGGAAUUCCCGGUGUAGUGGUGAAAUGCGUAGAUAUCGGGAGGAACACCAGUGGCGAAGGCGACUUCCUGGCCUGUUCUUGACGCUGAGGCGCGAAAGCUAGGGGAGCAAACGGGG